AUUGAACGCUGGCGGCAGGCCUAACACAUGCAAGUCGAGCGGAUGAAGGGAGCUUGCUCCUGGAUUCAGCGGCGGACGGGUGAGUAAUGCCUAGGAAUCUGCCUGGUAGUGGGGGAUAACGUCCGGAAACGGGCGCUAAUACCGCAUACGUCCUGAGGGAGAAAGUGGGGGAUCUUCGGACCUCACGCUAUCAGAUGAGCCUAGGUCGGAUUAGCUAGUUGGUGGGGUAAAGGCCUACCAAGGCGACGAUCCGUAACUGGUCUGAGAGGAUGAUCAGUCACACUGGAACUGAGACACGGUCCAGACUCCUAAGGGAGGCAGCAGUGGGGAAUAUUGGACAAUGGGCGAAAGCAUGAUCCAGCCAUGCCGCGUGUGUGAAGAAGGUCUUCGGAUUGUAAAGCACUUUAAGUUGGGAGGAAGGGCAGUAAGUUAAUACCUUGCUGUUUUGACGUUACCAACAGAAUAAGCACCGGCUAACUUCGUG
rnacentral:rRNA from 1 species